GUAACAAGGUCUCCGUAGGUGAACCUGCGGAGGGAUCAUUACAAGAACGCCCGGGCUUCGGCCUGGUUAUUCAUAACCCUUUGUUGUCCGACUCUGUUGCCUCCGGGGCGACCCUGCCUUCGGGCGGGGGCUCCGGGUGGACACUUCAAACUCUUGCGUAACUUUGCAGUCUGAGUAAACUUAAUUAAUAAAUUAAAACUUUUAACAACGGAUCUCUUGGUUCUGGCAUCGAUGAAGAACGCAGCGAAAUGCGAUAAGUAAUGUGAAUUGCAGAAUUCAGUGAAUCAUCGAAUCUUUGAACGCACAUUGCGCCCCCUGGUAUUCCGGGGGGCAUGCCUGUUCGAGCGUCAUUUCACCACUCAAGCCUCGCUUGGUAUUGGGCAACGCGGUCCGCCGCGUGCCUCAAAUCGUCCGGCUGGGUCUUCUGUCCCCUAAGCGUUGUGGAAACUAUUCGCUAAAGGGUGUUCGGGAGGCUACGCCGUAAAACAACCCCAUUUCUAAGGUGACCUCGGAUCAGGUA
rnacentral:rRNA from 1 species